rnacentral:lncRNA from 12 species
GCCUCAGCUUUUCCACCGCCGCUUUCUAGUCCUUUAAACCCUAGAGGCAAACUUUCGGAUACUAAGGGAGGUUGGGAGGGGCCUGUGCCCAGACGGCCUGGGCUGGCCUGGACGGCUCCAGCCAUGGCCCCCGAGAGGGGCUGACGCUACGGUCCCCGGUGCAGGUGAGAACCGCCUGGAGAAAGAAGGCAGAGGGUGCGGACCUGGGACUCGGUGGCCGGGGCGGGCUCCGAAGCGAGGAGACGGGGGUCCCCCCGCCGGAGCCUGAGAGCGCGCCUGCCCCACUCGGGGAGGACCGAGAGGUAAGGGGGCAGCGGGGAGCCGGGCUCCCGGGUCAGCUUCGGGAGGACGCGGGACAGACGGGCCCAGGGACCGCGGGCGCUCCAGCUCGGGGCGGCCGCCACGUGGCGGGAGGAAGCGCGGCGAGCCGUGGGGCGGGGGUCUCCCCCUCCCGGACGCCUCGGGAACCGGUCCGGCCGGGUGUGGAGCGGGCGCCUAUUUCCGUUUUGGCGGGGCUGGGGCCCGGAGAGGACAGAGGUGAACCAGCUGUGCCCUCCCUCCUGCAGCUGGAGCGGCGGGCCUGCAGGGGCGGAUGGCAGCGGGAGGGGCCCUCCGGGGUCCCACCCUCACUCCUGCACUGUCUUUUGCACAUUUGUCACAAACAACAGCCCCUCUGUAGGAGCCUUGGCCGGCUGACGGAGGUUUUUCCUAGAAUGACCUCAUUGCCUCUAGCACACAACUUUGCUUGCGGGAGGUUGGGGCCUUCUAUUUAAGAGGACCCUGGGAUUCGAGGUUCUGAGAAGGGGAGUGACUUGCCCGAGGCCCUCAGAGCCAGCAAGAGGCCACUCAGAAGCGAUUUCGAAGUCAUUACUCUGCCUGGAAUGGAGAAAAGAAAAGGCAAACAAACACGGUCAAGGAUGUAGGAAAUCCUUGGCCUUUAUGGCAUAUCCAAGUGUUUUUUACAUUCGGAUGCACACCCACCCACCCUAUCCAAGGGGGGCUAUGAGCAAUAGGCUAUCAUCUGUAGAGUCUCAUCAGGUUUAGACUCUGCCUGGUUUCUGAAUCCAGAUACAACAUUCAUUGCUGUGUGACCCAAGGCAACUUACUCUCCCUCUCUAUUCCUCAGCCACCACCUCUAUAAAACUCAUUGCAUUGUUCCGAGGAUUGAAUGAGUUUGUGUAUUUGAGUGAAAGCAUUUAAGUCCUCUACCCACCCACCCCACCCCACCCCAGAAUAAGUCCUUAGGAAGUAUAACAUCAGCAUCAUGAAUGUCCUUUACAAAUACCCCUAGCAAUCAGGCAUUCUGACUUCUACUUUUCAGUAGAGUAAACUGAGGUCUAAGGUUGAGGAAGUUAGGUCAGGGUCCCACAGAAAAGAAAUGGCAGGUGUGUUUGGCCAGGCACUGGAAAAUGGUGGUAGUGAUGCCUUGUAGGGCAAUGCGAGGAUGGGCUGAGGUUACAGGCUAGGGCAUGGGCAGGGAGGAAAGCCAGGGACUGAGAGCUGUCCCCAGAGGACUCAGUUCACGAGGCAGCAGGCAGGAGAAGUGGUUAAGUCUGGGCUCUGUGACCUUGGGCCAGUCAUAAACCCUCUCUAAGUGUGUCCUCGGGGACAAGGGGGAGUGAUCUCAGGUGGCCACUGAGCAUUUUAUUGAACUUUUGCUCUCUGCUGGGCACUCUGCCAAGACUUACUGGCAACAUCUCACCAAUCUCGAAAAGAGACUAUGAAGUGUUACAGGAAGAUCCUGUGUUCCUAUGUUACAUUUUUGAGAGGGGGAAAGAAACCUUAGAAAGGUUAAGUAUUUGCCCAAAGCCACACACACACACACACACACACACACACACAGCCAGAUGGAAACCUAGGCAUUUGGCUGAGUUGUGGUCUUUUCACCGGCAACUCACUGCACAGUAAUGACACUCACUGUGACCAUGGGGAGAGGGUUUUUUAUUUUCAACUGUGAAUUGAGAUUCAUUAAUGAGCAGAGGUAAGCAUUUAAAAAAUAAAAUAAAAUAGAUUAGAAUUGAAAACA